GAUGAACGCUGGCGGCGUGCCUAAUACAUGCAAGUCGAGCGAACUGAUUAGAAGCUUGCUUCUAUGACGUUAGCGGCGGACGGGUGAGUAACACGUGGGCAACCUGCCUGUAAGACUGGGAUAACUUCGGGAAACCGAAGCUAAUACCGGAUAGGAUCUUCUCCUUCAUGGGAGAUGAUUGAAAGAUGGUUUCGGCUAUCACUUACAGAUGGGCCCACGGUGCAUUAGCUAGUUGGUGAGGUAACGGCUCACCAAGGCAACGAUGCAUAGCCGACCUGAGAGGGUGAUCGGCCACACUGGGACUGAGACACGGCCCAGACUCCUACGGGAGGCAGCAGUAGGGAAUCUUCCGCAAUGGACGAAAGUCUGACGGAGCAACGCCGCGUGAGUGAUGAAGGCUUUCGGGUCGUAAAACUCUGUUGUUAGGGAAGAACAAGUACGAGAGUAACUGCUCGUACCUUGACGGUACCUAACCAGAAAGCCACGGCUAACUACGUGCCAGCCGCCGCCGUAACAC
rnacentral:rRNA from 1 species